AUAAUUCGAGCUGCAGAACUUAAUCGAACAGGUACAAUCUUUUAUAAGACAGCUGCUGGCGUAUGCCGAUAAUAUUGAUAUCAUUGGCCUCAACACCCUGCGCCGUUAGUUCUGCUUUCUCCAGACUGGACAAGGAAGCAAAGCAAAUAGGUUUGGCAGUGAACGAGGCGAGACGAAAUAUCUCCUGUGAGCAAACAAACAGUCGUCGCUCUCGCGACUUGGCUCCCACGUCACUGUUGACAGUCAUAACUUCGAAGUUGUAGAUAAUUUCGUCUAUCUUGGAAUCAGCGUAAACACCACCAACAAUGUCAGCCUAGAAAUCCAACGCAGAAUAACUCUUGCCAACAGGUGUUACUUCGGACUGAGUAGGCAAUUGAGAAGCAAAGUCCUCUCUCGACGAACAAAGUCACUAAUUAUUCCCGUCCUGCUGUAUGGUGCAGAGGCUUGGACGAUGACAACAACUGAUGAGUUGACGUUGCGAGUUUUCGAGAGAAAAGUUCUGCGAAAGAUUUACGGUCCUUUGCGCGUUGGCCACGGCGUAUAUCGCAUUCAAUGGAACGAUUAGCUGUAUGAGAUAUGUACAUAUAUGACGACAUUGACAUAGUACACACUACAGCUCUAAUAGUAUUUGACGCCGUACCCGCCGGGGGAAGCAGAGGAAGAGGAAGACCUCCACUCCGUUGGAAGGACCAUGUGGAGAAGGACCUGGUUACGCUUGGAAUAUCCAAUUGGCGCCACGUAGCAAAGAAGAAACGACUGGCGCGCUGUUGUUAACUCGGCUAUAAUCGCGUAAGCGGUGUCUACGCCAAUUAAGAAGGAGAAGAAGAAGCUGCUGCGCUCAUAUUCUGUCUCUACCAGUAAUGAGCUUGCCAUUUCUGUUAACUAAUUUUGUCUCUUUUCCAAAGAAGAACCUUUUGCACGCCUUCUUGGUGGAUAUCUUGAAGUCGUCUACUGCUUCUGCGCAAUCGUUCCUCAAAAUGUUUCUCCAAAGUCUGCUUCUAAAACUCUAAAAGAAAAUAAUUAUUAAUAAUAAUUUUGGGUUGUGUUGCUGAUGACUUUUAUGAGCUACAGAAUUUGUAUAGCUGUGUUGGAGCAAUAGACAGCAAGCACAUAUACAUACAUAAAUAAAACAUUCAGCCGCUACACGAUCAUUAUAAUAUAAUUACUAUAGUGUUAUCCUUAUGGCAAUUGCUUAUUCUAGAAAGGAAUUCAUAAUAAUCGAUAUUGGAGUUUAUGGUCGUAUAUUAGAUGGAUGAAAAGACGAAAAAAAAUCGAAUGUUGCGUACUGGAUGACGAGACUUACGUUUUAGUGGUAUUUUCUCAGCUACCAGGACAAAUAUUUUAUACAGCCGAUCUCGAGGAAACGUUGUUAAAAACUUCAAAUCCAUAAAGACGACAAAUUUUCAACAAAAAAUUCUUCUGUGGCAGCUAAUUGUUGCAGAAUUGCUAAAGUUGUUGCAGAAGAAGCAAACCCAUCUGUACCAAAUAAAGUUCUUUAUUACAAAAUUCAUUUAAAGGCCAGGAACAUAAUUGAAAGAGCCUUUAAGGUUCCAAAAUCUCGUUUCCGUUGCCUUUCUAAUGAGCGGGCAGUGAGGUAUACACCCACAAACUCCGCGUUCUUGGUUUAUAUUUGCGCAAUUUUCCACAGCAUUUUGCAAAAUAUCGUAUUUGUGAUUUCGAUGAAGACGGCACGAGAAGUUGAUUGUAUGUCUUUGACUGCUGGACUGACCGGAUCAAUCAGGAUUAAAAUAUCGUUCUAAAUAUAAAAGAAAAUAGCAUUUGAUUUUAUUUAAAUAUAAAAACUUUUUAUAAAAAGGAAA